UACGUAGAAGACGAGUGUUAAUCGGAAUUACUGGGCGUAAAGCGUGCGCAGGCGGUUUGCUAAGACCGAUGUGAAAUCCCCGGGCUUAACCUGGGAACUGCAUUGGUGACUGGCAGGCUAGAGUAUGGCAGAGGGGGGUAGAAUUCCACGUGUAGCAGUGAAAUGCGUAGAGAUGUGGAGGAAUACCGAUGGCGAAGGCAGCCCCCUGGGCCAAUACUGACGCUCAUGCACGAAAGCGUGGGGAGCAAACAGG
rnacentral:rRNA from 1 species